rnacentral:rRNA from 1 species
GAUAAACGCUGGCGGCGUGCAUGAGACAUGCAAGUCGAACGAAGGAUCGGGCUUGCUCGAUCCUUAGUGGCGGACGGCUGAGUAACGCGUAGGUGACCUACCCCGAAGUGGGGAAUAACUGCCCGAAAGGGUGGCUAAUACCGCAUGUGGUCGCACGUUCAUUCGUGCGAGUAAAGCCGCAAGGCGCUUCGGGAGGGGCCUGCGUCCGAUUAGCUCGUUGGUGGGGUAAUGGCUUACCAAGGCGACGAUCGGUAGGUGGUCUGAGAGGACGAUCACCCAGACUGGGACUGAGACACGGCCCAGACUCCUACGGGAGGCAGCAGUCGGGAAUUUUGCUCAAUGGGGGAAACCCUGAAGCAGCAACGCCGCGUGAGGGAUGAAGGCCUUCGGGUUGUAAACCUCUUCUGUCAGGGACGAUGAUGACGGUACCUGGCGAAUAAGCCACGGCUAACUACGUG